rnacentral:rRNA from 1 species
AGUGAACGCUGGCGGUAGGCCUAACACAUGCAAGUCGAACGGCAGCACAGGAGAGCUUGCUCUCUGGGUGGCGAGUGGCGGACGGGUGAGGAAUACAUCGGAAUCUACUUUUUCGUGGGGGAUAACGUAGGGAAACUUACGCUAAUACCGAAUACGACCUACGGGUGAAAGCAGGGGAUCUUCGGACCUUGCGCGAUUGAAUGAGCCGAUGUCGGAUGAGCUAGUUGGCGGGGUAAAGGCCCACCAAGGCGACGAUCCGUAGCUGGUCUGAGAGGAUGAUCAGCCACACUGGAACUGAGACACGGUCCAGACUCCUACGGGAGGCAGCAGUGGGGAAUAUUAGACAAUGGGCGCAAGCCUGAUCCAGCCAUACCGCGUGGGUGAAGAAGGCCUUCGGGUUGUAAAGCCCUUUUGUUGGGAAAGAAAUCCAGCUGGUUAAUACCCGGUUGGGAUGACGGUACCCAAAGAAUAAGCACCGGCUAACUUCGUGCCAGCAGCCGCCGUAA